GCUCUGCUCCACUUCUUCCACUCCCAGCACGUGCACAUUCAUAUGAGAGCCCUGUAUGGUAUUCUAUGGAUGUUUGUGGAUUUUAUGGAAAAAGGAGCCAGACACUCAUCAGACAGGCUGUCUCCCAUUCUCCACAUCCCAGAGCAGCUCAGGGGUGCCUGCAGCUGGGAGCUCUCAGCAGGGCUCUGUCCUGAACAAGGCAUUUGGAGGAUACCUCAGGCCUGCUGAGAGGAUGGACAUCGUCCUCACAGCCCUUGAACUGAUGGCUGACUCCAGCAUCUAUGCCAGGGAGUCAGCCUGCAGUGCGAUGGCCGUGGCCAUGGAAGACUACCCCUUCUGGAUACCAGAUAAAACCUCCAUCCACAAGAACUUGAGGAGCAUCGCCGCAAAGGCAGUGCAGCACUGCCUGAACUCCGUGCUCCUCCGUCUGACCAGCCAGAUGGCCACGGAAGUAGUCAGGAACCUGCUGAAGUCCUCUGCACCUAGCGACAGCAACACCCUAGACAUGUGGGAGGUGAUGCUCUGCAUGCCACGGACUUUGGAGAAGGUUUCGAAGAAGGUGACCAAGGGUUCACAGCUGAGCAGGCUGGUAGGAGUCACAGAAGACACGUGCAUCCUCUUCUUGGUGCUAAUGGCAAAGAGCAAAGAUAGUGAAGACUCUUGGUGA
rnacentral:lncRNA from 1 species